AGUACUGCCCGUACCGCAAACCGACACAGGUAGAUGAGGAGAGAAUCCUAAGGUGAGCGAGAGAACUCUCGUUAAGGAACUCGGCAAAAUGACCCCGUAACUUCGGGAGAAGGGGUGCUCUAUUAGGGUGCAAGCCCGAGAGAGCCGCAGUGAAUAGGCCCAGGCGACUGUUUAGCAAAAACACAGGUCUCUGCAAAACCGUAAGGUGACGUAUAGGGGCUGACGCCUGCCCGGUGCUGGAAGGUUAAGAGGAGUGCUUAGCUUCGGCGAAGGUACGAAUUGAAGCCCCAGUAAACGGCGGCCGUAACUAUAACGGUCCUAAGGUAGCGAAAUUCCUUGUCGGGUAAGUUCCGACCCGCACGAAAGGCGCAACGAUCUGGGCACUGUCUCAACGAGAGACUCGGUGAAAUUAUAGUACCUGUGAAGAUGCAGGUUACCCGCGACAGGACGGAAAGACCCCGUGGAGCUUUACUGCAACCUGAUAUGGAAUGUUUGUACCGCUUGUACAGGAUAGGUAGGAGCCGAAGAGACGUGUGCGCUAGCAUACGAGGAGGCAAUGGUGGGAUACUACCCUGGCUGUAUGACCAUUCUAACCCGCCACGCUUAGCGCGUGGGGAGACAGUGUCAGGUGGGCAGUUUGACUGGGGCGGUCGCCUCCUAAAGAGUAACGGAGGCGCCCAAAGGUUCCCUCAGAAUGGAUGGAAAUCAUUCGCAGAGUGUAAAGGCACAAGGGAGCUUGACUGCGAGACUGACAAGUCGAGCAGGGACGAAAGUCGGGCUUAGUGAUCCGGUGGUUCCGCAUGGAAGGGCCAUCGCUCAACGGAUAAAAGCUACCCCGGGGAUAACAGGCUUAUC
rnacentral:rRNA from 1 species